GACCAGCAAGAGAUGAUGCUACUCGACAUAAUGCUGCAAUGACUGGACAAGCAUGCAAGUGUGGCAUUCUGUGUAAAAGGAAGGUGCUGAAGGUGAAGAACUAACUCUUAUAACGCUGUGUGUAGCUUAUAAGAACAUCUGUUUGAAAUGUUUGGCCAGACACGGAGAGAAAACUGUUGAAAAUGAGUGGGCUACUCGUUAAGGCUUUCGUUCCCUGCCAAUGCUACUUGGCUGCGUUGGCACACAAAACUGGAAGUCGUCCGGGACCUGUGUUUUUAUAAACAGCAAAAAGGUCUGUAGGGGAGAAUACAUGAACAUGCACAGAAGAAAAUAAACAAAACUAACACCGGCUCAUAAGACGAAAAAUAAUAUAAGUUAUGUUAAAAACAUAUCUAAAAGCAUGAAAUCAAUACAUCUUUGGAGCAGAAACAUGAAAUAUAACUCAAACGUGAAGUCUAGACAAUAUGGUGUUACGAGCAUGCUGCGACCCAUCACUGUAAAGGCUCCCACAGGCUGUACCCGGAGCCUGACUACCUGAAAAGUGCUACACGACCCACCUUCAGAUGCUGAGUGCGUCUGUCAGAGACACUGAGUGCAUCUGCCACGGACACUGGGCACGUCCCUCAGAGAUGCUGGAUGUGUCUUAACCGUGGAGCUGCACCUUCCUCCUCGAGCGUCUCGGCGCCUAUAAAAGGCCAGCGCAUCUAGCACCAAAGUGCUUUCUCAUCCACGUUUUCUACAUUCGUUGUAAAUUAAAUGUUUUGUCUCCUGG